UACGAAGGGUGCAAGCGUUACUCGGAAUUACUGGGCGUAAAGCGUGCGCAGGCGGUUUUGUAAGUCUGUCGUGAAAUCCCCGGGCUCAACCUGGGAAUGGCGAUGGAGACUGCAAGGCUAGAGUUUGGCAGAGGGGGGUAGAAUUCCACGUGUAGCAGUGAAAUGCGUAGAUAUGUGGAGGAACACCGAUGGCGAAGGCAGCCCCCUGGGUCAAAACUGACGCUGAGGCACGAAAGCCGGGGGAGCAAACAGG
rnacentral:rRNA from 1 species